rnacentral:rRNA from 1 species
UACGUAGGGUGCGAGCGUUAAUCGGAAUUACUGGGCGUAAAGCGUGCGCAGGCGGUUCGUUAAGUUCGUUGUGAAAGCCCCGGGCUCAACCUGGGAACUGCAAUGGAAACUGGCGGGCUUGAGUGUGGCAGAGGGGGGUGGAAUUCCGCGUGUAGCAGUGAAAUGCGUAGAGAUGCGGAGGAACACCGAUGGCGAAGGCAGCCCCCUGGGCCAACACUGACGCUCAGGCACGAAAGCGUGGGGAGCAAAAGGG